GCCUGGUAUAGCUCAGUUGGUACAACAUGAGAUUCCUAAUCUCAGGGCCGUGGGUUUGAGCCCCACGUCAGGCA